ACACACGCCUACCCUCUCUAGUCAACCUGCAAACCUGCAUUCUCUGCUCUUCGUUUCGUCACCCCGGAUGCCUUGCCUGUGUAUAUGCAUCUAUUCAUCUCCCAUGUGUCUAAGUGUCUUCUUUGUGCCCAGCAGGAUUGGAAGCGCUUUGUGGGCACUCCAUAAAAGUGACUGAAUGAAGGCCCGGCUCUUGGCAUUAAGGCUGAACUUUUUUUAAAUGCUGAUGCCUGAGGUCUGCAGCUGGCUGCCCACUUGGCCACUGGCUUCCUCAGCGGAGGGCAGCCACCUCCUGUCACUGUGGAGGGACUGGGACAAGGACAGGCCUAGACAGAGCCAACAUGGAGCAGAAAACAGGAGGAGCCAGACCCCAGGAACAGAAAAAUGCGCUGUUUCACACUGAGUCAGUGACCAAGGUGAAGGGCAGGGGCCAGGAAACCUCUCCUCGUCUCCCACCUGCUCUCGAAGCACUGCCUGCUUUGCGGCUGUCAUGCUAACGUUUACCGAAAGCCAGGCUCUGAAACUGCCGCUCUGUUUCCCAUUCACCUGUUUGAUGCUUUAUCCUGAAGAAUUCAGGAGCAUCUGGAGAGAGCAGAGGAGAGACAGCAUCCAGAGGAGAGACGCCAGCGGUGAGGCUGACUCCGGAAGAGGCAUCCGACCCACAGGUCAUGGGGAAAGUAAGGCAAGCACAUCCCAGAAAAAUCACCCCCACCCCACCCUGGAGUUUUCUGGCAUGAGCUAUAGCAUAAUUCACAUGGCCAAGUGAUACAAAAGAAAAGUAGCUUCUCAAAUCUAGAAUCAUCGCUCAGCACAGCCAUCCCUCUCUUCCUUUUUCGGCAGAGCUAACAUGAAUGGAGCACUUACGGCAUGUCGGGCAUGAUUACAUACAGUCUCUCAUUUAACCCUCACAUCAGCUGAGGAGCUCACUUCUACAGAUGAGGAAGCUAAGGCACAGAGAGGUUAAGUGGCCUGCCCAAGGACACACAGCUAGUAUGUGGUAGAACAGGCAUUUGAACUGUGUCAUCCAGUCUCCAAAGCCCAGGCUUCCAUCUCUUUGGUAUUUAGAGACCACAGUCCCAUCCACAAUCUCUGUAAUUAGAGGUUUCAGUGGAAGUAGAAAAUAUUUCAGGAUCUCUUAUGGUGAAAGAAUUGCCCAAGAAGUGUUAGGAAGGCCGAGAGGCCAGUUGAGUCACCUGAUGGGGGAUUUCUUCCCAGGGAUGGUGCUCUUGGUGAAAGAAGGAAGCACACAGAGGAGCUUUGCAGCUGAAGAACAGGAUCUGGGUGGGCGUCUGUGUGGAGCUGCCAUGCUCGGGACACAGAAAGCCAGGCUGGCUCGGCUCGGAGAGAGACUCGCGCACAAUGAUGUUAGUUGCCCGUGCUUUGAACCCCUCAAUGCCAUUCCCACUUCCAUCAAAAUCCACUUACAGACACUGCUUUAGUCAGUUGGACUUUACAAGCAUCAAGGCAUAGAUGCUGGAAAGAAGGGAUUUCUGAAAUGCUACCACAUGUUUGAAAGGUUGUGUGCAGGCUGUUGUGUCGUGUUUGGCUUUGGCUGGACCUGGCCGACUCCUGCCCCCCAACAAUAUUUAACAAGCACCUUCCAGAAGACGCAGCUCUGCAUAACCUGUGCUAGGAAUUUGGGCCUCUGCCCUGAAUAUUGGUCCUAUUUCACAUGUACCUCAUCAACCUGAUAACAUUCCUCCCAGCUGAAGAGUCACGGUGGUGGAGUGCGCAGGGCAGGGAAGCUCAGAAACACAGGACCACAGGACUUAACCUACAGAAAGGCCUUCAUCCGAGCAUCACAAAGCACUGACGGACAGUAAUUAAUCCUCACAACGCCUGUGCUCGGAAGGUGAGUGAUCACCUGGUUUUUAUAGAUUGGGAGGACUUUCUUCAGGCAGCCCCUCCCUCGAGAAGCUGAGACUGGAUGGUGGGGCAAUCCUACCUCUGAAGUGGGGGAGAGGCAGAGAGGGUGGCUCAGUGGGUGGAAGCCAGGCCCGUGUCACCUGGCCACCUUUCCCUCCCCAGGACACACGUUCCCCAGUGCACACUUACUGUGGCUGCGAGCGGGGGAGAGGGGGUUAAGAAGAUUCUCAGAGAUUCAAGAAACCAAAGGCGGGGUGAGGAGUAGAAGAGAAAGAGAAUGAAAAGCAAAAAAUAGAGCAGGAGGAGGUUAGAGGUUCUCUCUGACUUCCUGUAAGUAUAAUCCGACUGGCCACAUGUGAGGGAAACCAAAUGUCAUGUGAAGCAGUGCAAUUGUCAUCCUCAGGAGGUGGGCCUUGUUGGGCGAAAGGUCAGAAUAAUCCCUUCUCUAGCAAAGCAGAAGUCCCAAUGCUAUUUUUGGAAACUCCUAGAAUUUGCCACCACAACAUGGUAUGAGAAGAGCCAGAGUUACAGUUCAUCACCUUGCAGUGCAACGUCACCCUUCUCUCCACUGUGGCCGAUAGGCUUCUGAGAAGUGAUCAGAACAGAUGUUAGUAAAGUGCAUCACACCUCGAGCACACUGGGGCUCCUCGUGGUUACAGGACUUGGCGGGGAGGAUCAGGGCAAACAAGUCAUGACCCCCCUGAGGCAGCGGUUGGAAAUGUGGGCUUUUUAGUUCUGCUGAGCUGAGCUCCAAUCCCAGCCCCACCUCCCGCCAUAGCUGGGUUACCUUGGUAAGCGGCUUGAUCUCUUUGAGCCUCAUUUUCCUCAUCUGUUAAUUGGGGCUAGUCAUGCCCUCCCUCCUGGGAUGGUUGGAAGAGUUACCUGCAGGGCUUCCCUGGUGGCGCAGUGGUUGAGA